rnacentral:rRNA from 1 species
GGUGAACGCUAGCGGCAGGCUUAAUACAUGCAAGGCGAAGGGUCAGCAAUGGCACUGUCGUACGGGUGCGUAACGCGUAUGCAACCUACCUAUCACUGGGGGAUAGCCCGGGGAAACCCGGAUUAAUACCGCAUAACACAGGGGUCCCGCAUGGGUACUAUUUGUUAAAGAUUUAUCGGUGGUAGAUGGGCAUGCGUUCGAUUAGCUAGUUGGCAGGGUAACGGCCUACCAAGGCGACGAUCGAUAGGGGAGCUGAGAGGUUGAUCCCCCACACGGGCACUGGGAUACGGGCCCGACUCCUACGGGAGGCAGCAGUAGGGAAUAUUGGGCAAUGGAUGCAAGUCUGACCCAGCCAUGCCGCGUGCCGGAUGAAUGCCCUCAGGGUUGUAAACGGCCUUUAUUCGGGAAGAAGAGCAGGGAUGCGUCCUUGUGUGACGGUACCGAAUGAAUAAGCACCGGCUAACUCCGUGCCAGCAGCCGCAGUAA